UCCACCAACAGAAAUUUGGAGGUUCACUGAAUUGCUCCCAAAGUUUACAGCCUGGAUUUUAAAACAAAGAAUAAAAAUUUUAUUUUGUAGCGGAAGGGAUCGGAUGAAAUCACCUUCAGAAUUCAUAAUUACUUUUCUCUUCUGACCAGCAAACCUACAACCCC